ACCCACAGUAGAACUUGUUUCAAAAUUGGAGUAAUCUUCUCAAAUCCUGCCACUACUUUAUCAACUAAGUUUAUAAAAUAUUCUAAAUCUUUAGUUGUCAUUUUAACACUGUUCACAGUAUCUUCACCAGGAGCAAUUCCAUCUCAAUAAACGAUUUUCUUUGCUCAUUUGCACGAAGCAACUCCUCAUUCAUUUGAAUUUUAUCAUGGGAUUGCAGUAAUUCAACGACAUCUUCAGGUUCCAUUUCUAAUUCUAUUCUCUUGCUGCUUCUACCACAUCUGCAGCAGAUUCCUCCACAGAAGUCUUGAGUCCCUCAAAAUCAUUCAUGAGAGUUGGCAUCAACUUCUUCCAAACUCCAAUUUAUACUGAUAUUUUGACCUCCUCCUGUGAAUCAUGAAUGUUCUUUGUGACAUCUAGAAUGCUGAAUUCUUUUCAGAAGAUUUUUCAAUGUAUUUUGCUCAGAUCCAUCAGAGGAAUCACUACCUAUGGCAGCUAUAGCCUUACAAAAUGUAGUUCUUAAAUAAUAAGACUUGAAAGUUGAAAUUACUUCUUGAUCCAUGGGCUGCAGAAUGGAUGCUGUGUUAGCAGGCCUGAAAACAACACGAAUCUCUUCUUACAUCUCAGUUAGAACUCUUGGGUGGCCAGAUGCAUUGUCAAUAAACAGUAAUAUUUUUAAAGAAAUGUAUUUUUUUCUAAGCAGUAGGUCUCAACAGUGGGAUUAAAAUAUUCAGUAAACCAUCCUGUAAACAGAUGUGUGGCUGGGUGCAGUGGCUUACGCCUGUAAUCCCAGCACUUUGGGAGGCCGAGGCAGGUGGAUCACCUGAGGUCCAGAGUUCGAGACCAGCCUGGCCAACAUGGCGAAACCCCAUCUCUACUAAAAAUACAAAAAAAAAAAAAAAAAAAAAAAAAAGCCAGGGAUGGUGGUGAGUGCCUGUAAUCCCAGCUACUAGGGGGUGCUGAGGCAGGAGAAUUGCUUUAACUCAGGAGGCAGAGGUUGCAGUGAGCCAAGAUCGCACCACUACACUCCAGCCUGGGCAACAGAACAAGACUCUGUCUCAAACAAACAAACAAACAAACAAACAAAAAAAACAAAGAAACAAAAAAGCAGAUGUGCUGUCAUACAGGCUUUACAGUUCCAAUUGUAGAGCACAGGCAGAGUAGAUUUAGCCUAAUUAUGAAGGGCUCUAGGAUUUGGGGAAUGAUAAAUGAAUAUUGGCUUCAACUUAAGGUUGCCAACUGCAUUAGCCCCUAACAAGAGUCAGCCUGUUCUUUGAUGUUUUGAAGCCAAGCAUUGACUUCUCUCUAGCUAUAAGAGCUGUAGAUGACAUCUUCUUCCAACAAAAGGCUGUUUCAUCUACAAUGAAAAUCUGUUGUUUAGUGUAGUGAGUUGCAAUUAUCAAUUAUCUUGGCUAGAUCUUCUGGACAGCUUGCUGCAGAUUCUCCACUGGCACCUGCAGAUGGCCUCUUUUCUUAAAUCUCAUGAACUAACUUUGUUAGCUUCAAACUUUUCUUCUGCAGCUUCCUCAUGUGACUUAGCCUUCAUAUUGACAAAGCUCCCCAGCAGGACCUGCACAGAGUAGGUACAAGGGCAGUUCUGCCUGCAAGCCAGCCUAGCCCUGUGCAUCCUUAAAUGCUUUUUCUCAUUGGUCCCAGUUCCCUUCCCUGAUUUUCAGCUGUGGGAUGCUCUCACAGGUUUCAGUGUUUGAAAAGGUCACUUUUGUCACAUGAUAAGCCCCUUUACAGUGUGGAUGCCUGGAUCAUCCCCCAAAUAAACAUGAACACUUUAUAGCAGGGAAAGAGGAGACUCUGCCUUUAUGGUUCAGAUCGUCAUUUCAAUGGUGGCCUUUUUAAUUCCAUAAGCUGGCAAAAUCUAUGGGGCUGCGUUUGUUACUCCCAACUCCAGGUGAGGUUAUAGAUUUAAUUCACUUCAAUAGAACUGAAAGAACAAAAGCCAAUUCAUGUUCAAGCCAGCACUGCCAAAAAAAUCACAGUAAAGUCCUUUUGAAAAAACCCUUCACCGAGUGUGGUGGCUCACGCCUGUAGCCACCUCACUCGGCUAAGGAUUUUUUCAAAAGGAUUUUACUGUCCUUGGGAGGCUGGGGUGGAAGGAACACUUGAGGCCAAGAGUUUGAGGCUGCAAUGUGCUAUGUUCACAUCUGUGAAUAGCCACUCUCACUCUCACUCUUGGCAACAUAGUGAGACCCUAUCUCUAAAAGAAAAUAAAGUCCUUGCCGGGUAGUUAACGAGGGAUUGAAAAUGACCCAUAGGAUCAAAUGUUCCCUAAAGAACAGAUAACUUUUGGAGAAUAAGAGAGGCCGAAGAAAAAAGAGAAAAGUGAGACAAAAGUCCACACUGGAGAUGAUGGAAACGUUCUUACAUGUGGGUUAUGUCUCAUCUCUCAACAACAAACUCUCUUAACCAGUUUUCAAGAUUU
rnacentral:lncRNA from 1 species